rnacentral:tRNA from 1 species
GGAGCGGCUGGGGCCGGUGCCCCAAUUGGUCUUCAAAACCAGUACGGCGUUGUAAACCAACGCUAGGCAGGUUCGACUCCUGUGCCGCUCCG